CCCUUAGAUGUUCUGGGCCGCACGCGCGCUACACUGAUGCAUUCAACGAGUCUAAAACCUGGUCUGAUAGGGCUGGGUAAUCUUUUGAAAGUGCAUCGUGAUUGGGAUAGAUGACUGCAAUUCUUCAUCUUCAACGAGGAAUGCCUAGUAAACGCAAGUCAUCAGCUUGCAUUGAUUACGUCCCUGCCCUUUGUACACACCGCCCGUCGCUCCUACCGAUUGAAUGAUCCGAUGAAUACCAUGGAUUGAGAGUACGAAUGGGUUCGCUCAUUUCUGCUGCUCGAGAAGUGGAGUAAAUCUUAUCAUUUAGAGGAAGGAGAAGUCGUAACA
rnacentral:rRNA from 1 species